rnacentral:lncRNA from 1 species
UUUGAUUGUAGAUGUUUUGAAGUAGACCAUUUUUACCUCCAUUAUAAACACCAUGAGUUCCAAAACAAUUAUUUUUAAUGUAAGCCUCUCUAAUAAAUAAUUGAUCGAGUAACGCUUGAGACGAAACUAUAUAAGAUGCUUUGGUCUCGGACCUGAGGGGAUGUAUGAGUUUCGGUCCAGAACCUCUUUGAUUAUUCAAAAAAAAAAAAAACAAUUGAAUUUGUAAAUGUUAAUAUUUACAAAUGGACCAAAUUUUGUUUGGCAUCUAUAAUAAUACAUGUUAAAAAUGGUGUUAAAACUUUUGCUCAUUUUUUCAAGUCAUCAGAAGUCCUUUACUCCAAC